rnacentral:lncRNA from 1 species
AUGGCUUCAAUCCGAUAAGAUCUGGUCUGGUCGGAUCCGCGUCGUGUCGCGAAACGACCGCUGCGAGAUCCGGUUAGAAGAUCCCAACUCCGGUGACCUCUUCGCUGCCUGCUUCGUCUACCCUGGCCAGCGUGACGUCGCCGUCGAACCGGUUCUAGAUUCCUCGCGAUACUUCGUUCUCAAGAUUGAAGACGGUCAAGGGAAACACGCUUUUGUUGGAUUAGGGUUCGCGGAGCGGAACGAAGCGUUUGAUUUCAAUGUUGCGCUUUCGGAUCAUGAUAAGUAUGUGCGUAGGGAGCAUGAGAAGGAGUCUGGUGGUGGUGAUGUUGCGGGCGAGGAAUCACAGAUCGAUAUUCAUCCUGCGGUUAAUCACAGACUGAAGGUGUGAAUCUGAAUUGAAAAUUUUGUAGUUUGAAUUGUUUUGAUUAUUGUUGUGGUUGUGUAAUUAGAAAUGAAGUAGGUUGUGCUGUUAGAUAUGAUAAUUCACGUGCCUUGUUAGUGAUGCAUAAUUCAGGGUGGAAUUGAUUUUUUGUGUGUUUUGAAUUAUUUGAUUAGUGUCGAGGUUGCCUAAUUGAAACAGUAACUAAGUGACUUUGGUGUUAGUGGUUUGUGGUAAUUUUAUGAAAACAGGUGUUUGUUUUGGCUAAAUCUCGGUUUUUAUGUUAAUUUUUGUGAUUUGAUAAUAAUGCCUGAUUCAGCUUUGUGGUUAAGUGAAUAACUCAGAUGCUUAUGUAGAAUGAGUGUUUGUGUUAUGAUGGUUAAGUAGAUUUUUCUGUUGUUACGGUGAAUUGCAGGUACUGUUUUGUGAACGAGUGCUACAAUCCUCUAUUAUUGUGUUAUGAUGAAUUGCUGAAGGAUUGUUUUUGCUUUGGUCAGAUAUGGUUUUUAGAGCAGUUUAUAGAUGUGUCGAGCUUGCGUAGUUGAAGCAUAGUUUGAUAAAUUCAUUAUAUGUUACUAUGUUGAAUCGGUAGUUGUUGACUUGUUUCCUCAAAUCCAGAUUUAUACAUAUCUGCUUGUUGAGAUUAAGCAAAUGAAGCAUGUUUUAGUGCUAUGGUUAAGUGGAUCAUUGGCAUGCUUAUGUAGGAUGCUUAUGCUCUCUGGUAACUAUAUUAUCAUGGUGAAUUGCUGAAUAACCAUUUCUUUUGGCCAAAUCUGAUUUUAGAUCAGGCUCUCGAUGUGUUUCUGUUUCACAAACACGGUUUUUUGUGGGUUUUUUUAUUUCUCUCAACUACCCCCUCCCUUCUUUCGUUUAAAAUUUUUUGGAGGAAUUUACUUUUUCCUCUCGUACGUUUUAUUCUUGAGCUCUUCCUUUUGAUCUCUGCAUAUGAGAUUAAGAUUUAUGGCUUUUUAGAUUUUCUUAUUUAUUUGACACGAGCUUCUUUGUCUUUUGGCCUAAAGGAAGGGGAAACCAUCAGGAUUAAUGUGAAGCACAAAAUAUCUAGUGGAACUGGCAUGCUUUCAGCUGCUGGGCUAACAGGUGGGCAUGCUGGAACACCAAAGCCAAAAAUCUUAAGCCUUGCUCCUCCACCGAGUGGGGCAGGGAAAAUCAGAUCUCCUCUUCCACCCCCUCCAAAUGAUCCUGUUGCUGCUCGGAUUGCUUCUACAUCACGUAGUACUGGUCUUAAAGGGACAAAUGACAGUGUGAAACAUUCUACUGACUCCUUAUCAGAUUUUUCUCAACUACAGGUAUGCUGGUGCUGCUCAUUAUUUGGCUGUUCCCUUAUUACAUAAUUAAAACAAGUGUGGUGGGUUUUGUUUAUCGACUUUUAAUAGAAUAAACUGCCUAACACAAGAUUUGGUUUUUAAUAUAAUAUAAUGACACAGUUUAAUCCAUGUAGCAGGCAUCAUCUUUGGGAAAAUGCUUCAGUUGUUGUACUUGUAGUUAUAGAUCUUACUAUCAAUCUAUGAGACUAUGACGAUAAUGAUUUGAAAAACAAAGAAUUUUCUCAGAGAUUCAUAUUCAUUUUUUAUUUUAUAGAGUAGAGCAACUCGAUUUAAUUAAUUUCUCUGCAUAGAUUAAAGUCCCAGACAUGGUCCAGAUUAAAUCAUUUGUAACACUAACAUACGUUUUUCUUGUUUGUAUUUACAGAAGAAUCUGCCGUCAACAGCCACUUCAGGUUCGAACACAGCUUCAGGAUGGGCAGCCUUCUGAGUAUAAAUAUGAGCAUUUUAACUAUGCGGCUUUUGUUAUUCUCUGAUUUUUUUGGUUCCUUAUUUUGAAAAAAGAAACAGUUGAAGAUACUGUGAAGUUAGCAGAAGAUACCAUGUACUUGGAAAUAUUUAUGGUUUUCUUUUGUUUGUAUCAACAGGUUCCUAUAUGUCUAUAUAAAAGAAUUACUCCUCAACCCUAAAAAAAUCCCACUCAUUCUUGACAGAGGUGUACUUUUGAAUGUGUUAAAGGGAGUGUUCCUAAUUAGCAUAUAUAAAAACUGAUGCCCAAUUACUUGUCACGGGUACUGUAAUUAGCAUUUUUUGUGUUAGUAUUUUAAUCGAUUGGGUUUGAUUGCAACGCUUGGAAUUUGACAUAAUAUUUCCUUAACACUAGAAAGAAAGGAGAAAGAUUCCUACUUUAUCUCGUUUGGUAAAGAAGAGAAAUAGAAGAGAUAGAGAAAAAAUUAAUGGGUCUCACUAAAAAUAUUUUCUUCUUUUCUUUUCAACUUUUAGAAGUGGUGAGACCUGAGAAAUGGCAUAACUUACCAAGUUUGUAAGUUUGCUGGUACACUCAUUUGUCAUCAGAGUGUUAUAUUAAGAUUCUGUUGAAACUGUUAAAAACUGUUUUCACGUUAAUCAAUUAAAGCUUUACUUAAUCGAUUAACUGACAUAUUUUCAGUUAAGAUGUUAAUUGGUAAACUACCUAUAUGUUAUGCUUAUCAACUAUACAUGUUUUACCUUUAUGUUAUGCCUAAAAUGUACAAAUAACAUGUAUGAUUAAUGCAUGAACAUAUAAUAAACUAGAUGACAUGUCUCAUGUAAAUAUAAUAAACUAGAUGGCAUGUCUCGUGUAAAUAAACUGAAAUCCGUUUUUCAGUUUUCUGUUGAAACUGUUAAAAAUUGUUUUCACGUUAAUCGAUUAAAACUUUACUUAAUCGAUUAAGUGACAUAUUUUCAGUUAAGAUGUUAAUUGGUAAACUACCUAUAUGUUAUGCUUAUCAACUAUACAUGUUUUACCUUUAUGUUAUGCCUAAAAUGUACAAAUAACAUAUAUGAUUAAUGCAUGAACAUAUAAUAAACUAUAUGGCAUGUCUCAUGUAAAUGAUAUGGUAGUUUUUAGAUGUUGUGAGAUUUGCAUCUAGGUUUACCUAACCUAGACUCAAUAACUAAGAGACAUCUAAGACUCUAGUCUAGACAUGAAGUUCUUGAAUCUUUGACAUGUUGAUUUGUUGAGUUGUCUUUAAGCUUUCACUAAGUCAUUUGUCUUCAAGCUUUCACUAAGUCCUUUGUCUUCAAGCUUUCACUAAGUCCUUUGUCUUCAAGCUUUCACUAAGUCCUUUGUCUUCAAGCUUUCACUAAGUCCUUUGUCUUCAAGCUUUCACUAAGUCCUUUGUCUUCAAGCUUUCACUAAGUCCUUUGUCUUUAUCAAAACAUAGGCAAGCUUUAGUGCUCUCUUCACACAUUGCACUUUCAAAACUAACAAAUGACAAACAUAACUACAAAUAAGUUAAAAAUACUUGUUUUCGCUGAAAAACGAUAUCAAUUUGGUUGUUUUAUAAAAUAAAAUAAAAAUUUUGAUUAACUCGGUCGGUUCAACCACCCGAGUCAUUAGUUUUGGCUUAAACUGACUGAGUCAACCCGAUUUAAUACUAAACCAGUUAGAUGAGAAGCGCAUAUCGAUAAAAUGUUUGGUUCACGGUUAAACCAAUCAGACCAGCAGGUGCGAGCCGAGUUUUAUAACACAUCCAUGUACUUAGUUUUUCAAAAAUAUAUACAAUAUAUAAGUCUACAACUUAUCAUUUUUCAUUUCACUUUUAUAUCAUGUUUCUAUUAAUCACAUGAGGAUAAUCAAAUUACUUUUUGAGGUAAAAUAUAGUGUUAGUCCUUAAAAUUCAAAGACAAUGAUAUAUGUGGAAUUAACUACAUUCCAUCAUAAGCCGAACAUGUCUUAAUUAUAUUUAAUUAUAAAUCCAAGUUAUUGGUUGCAAGCUAGAUUUCAAAAUAUUCCUUAGUGCAUAACUUGAAAAAGAAAAUAUCUUUUCAUAAGAGAAUAUAUAUUAUAUCCGCUAACUCCUAAAAUUAUAAUAAUGUAAUUUAUAUUUUAUAGUUUUUAAAAAUAUUUUUGUAAAAAUAAUUAAUCAUAAUGUAGGUGAUCAUUCUCAUAAUUAUAGGAGAUAAUUUAUUCUGAAUUUGAAUUCUCAGUUGUCUAACUGAAUAGCCACAACACCAAGUGAUAACACUUCUUCUUCUUCUGCUUCUUUGUAGUACCAACUAACAUAUCUAAAUCAAAUCACCACCUCAAAUUUAUUAAAUUUAAAUUCAUACUAGAACUCACCCUCUAUCUCAACCCAAAACGAUGUCGUUCGAGGAGGAAUCUUUCGAACACACCCUCCUUGUGGUGCGCGAAGUCUCCGUCUACAAGAUCCCGCCGCGCACAACCUCCGGCGGUUACAAGUGCGCCGAAUGGCUUCAAUCCGAUAAGAUCUGGUCUGGUCGGAUCCGCGUCGUGUCGCGAAACGACCGCUGCGAGAUCCGGUUAGAAGAUCCCAACUCCGGUGACCUCUUCGCUGCCUGCUUCGUCUACCCUGGCCAGCGUGACGUCGCCGUCGAACCGGUUCUAGAUUCCUCGCGAUACUUCGUUCUCAAGAUUGAAGACGGUCAAGGGAAACACGCUUUUGUUGGAUUAGGG